CCUGAAGCCCGUUCUACAAUAUAUCAUAUCAUAAACAAAAGGUCAUCACUACCAACAUAAUAAAUAAAAUCCAAAAUCUUAGACUUUACAUGCUCAAGAAUUUUAAAAAUUCAAUUUUUCUCUUUCUUCUCAAGUUUGACUACGAUACUUACUUUAUUUCCGAAUUCCACGCUGUAUUUAAAAAAAAAAAAAAUAGCUGAGAAAAAAAAUUUCAAACGAUUUCCAAACCAAUACAAUAAAUGUUAAUUCAUGUUUCCAUUCCAUUUGGAAAACAGAAGACAUGAAUAUAUUUGUUCAGUUCCUAAAUAUUGGAAUUGAAUUGUUAAAAAUGUUUUUUCUCUGCUAAUUGUAGAGAUAAAAUAAUAACCCUUAGCUGAAAAUAUCAAUAAAAAAUAUAUAUAAAAAAGAAAAAUAUACACGAAAAAGUAAAAUAAAAGACAUUUUGUUUGCUGGAAUAAAAAACUCGAAAAGAUGUUGUUUUAUUUAAACGCAAUAAUCUGUAAAAUAAAAGAAAAUGAAUUAAUAAAAUAAAAUAAAAUUAACAAAUAAAUAAAUUAAUUAAUAAAAGCUUAAGCCAAUAAAAAAGCAAAUCGCACAAACGAUUGUUAUUAUUGACUGAGAAUCCAUUUUUCGCUUCAAAAACCGCUGAAAUUUCCAAAAUUUAGUUUUUACCCACUGUAAAAACAGAUUAUAUUUCUGAAAAUAAAAAAAAAAAACAUAGCAAUCAACAAUCAAAUAAAUAAAAAAUAUAAUUAAAAAAAUUAUAUAUCAAAAUUCAAGAAUUUACCGAAAAAUGGACCCUCCUACGAAUCCUGACCACCCUCGUCCUGGUCACUAUGACAUUUUGCUGAGGGAAAUAUAUUAUUCCUAAGUUCGGCUUGAAAAAAAAAGAAAAAAUAAGGAAAUAUGUCAAGAUUUUCAAGAAAUGAAAUUCAAGAAAUAUAAAAAUAGGGGCUUACCAGGACAUGUGGCCCAUCCCCGAUUAUUUCGAUGGGCUGCAAUGGUAUCGGCAUGCUUACCAAAUUAUUGGGGCUCCCAAACCAGGUCCUUGGAUUGGACCACUCCCUGCCGCGGAACUGAAUUAAAAAUAAAAUAUUAUCAAAAACCAUUGUUUCAACAUUUGAAAUAAUUAAACUUACAUGUCUUAUAAAAGCACGAUCCAUUAAAUUUUCCAUUCUUUUA